rnacentral:rRNA from 1 species
CAGUAGCCGCGGUAAAACGUAGGUGGCGAGCGUUGUCCGGAAUUAUUGGGCGUAAAGGGCAUGUAGGCGGUUUAGUAAGCCUGAUGUGAAAUCUACGAGCUUAACUCGUAAACUGCAUUGGGUACUGCUGAUCUUGAAUCAUAGAGGGGGAACUGGAAUUCCAAGUGUAGGGGUGGAAUCUGUAGAUAUUUGGAAGAACACCGGUGGCGAAGGCGGGUUUCUAGCUAAUGAUUGACGCUGAUAUGCGAAGGUGCGGGGAGCAAACAGGAUUAGAUACCCCUGUAGUCCCUGUCUCUUAUAC